rnacentral:rRNA from 1 species
UACAGAGGUCUCAAGCGUUGUUCGGAUUCAUUGGGCGUAAAGGGUGCGUAGGCGGCGCGGUAAGUCGGGUGUGAAAUUUCGAGGCUUAACUUCGAAACUGCAUUCGAUACUGCCGUGCUAGAGGACUGGAGAGGAGACUGGAAUUUACGGUGUAGCGGUGAAAUGCGUAGAUAUCGUAAGGAAGACCAGUGGCGAAGGCGGGUCUCUGGACAGUUCCUGGCGCUGAGGCACGAAGGCCAGGGGAGCAAACGGG